GGCCGGUUGAUUAUAAUUUCAGGUCUAGCCUGCCCAGUGAGUUAUUAAAUGGCUGCAGUAAUUUGACUGUACAAAGGUAGCAUAAUCAUUAGUUUCUUAAUUAGAAGCUGGAAUGAAGGGUUUCAUAAGAAAAGUCCUGUCUCUUUUAGAGUUUUGUAGAAUUUUAUUUUUAAGUGAGAAAGCUUAAAUUUUUAUAGAAGACGAGAAGACCCUGUAGAGUUUGAUUUUUUAAUUUACUUUAAUUUUUUAGCUAGCAAAAUUGUUGGAGAUUAACUAAUUUUAUUGGGGUGAUAGAAAAAUUAAAUAAACUUUUUUUAAAUUAAAACAUUUAUUUAUGGGUAAAGGAUCCUUUAGUUAGGAUAAAAGAAUAAAUUACCUCAGGGAUAACAGCGUAAUUUUCUUUGGAGUUCGUAUCUAAUAGAAAGAUUGCGACCUCGAUGUUGGAUUAAAAUUAAUAUCUGGUGCAGAAGCUAGGAUAUUAGGUCUGUUCGACCUUUAAAAUUUUACAUGAUCUGAGUUUAAACCGGUGUGAG
rnacentral:rRNA from 1 species